rnacentral:rRNA from 1 species
GACGAACGCUGGCGGCGUGCCUAAUACAUGCAAGUCGAGCGAACAGACGAGGAGCUUGCUCCUCUGACGUUAGCGGCGGACGGGUGAGUAACACGUGGAUAACCUACCUAUAAGACUGGGAUAACUUCGGGAAACCGGAGCUAAUACCGGAUAAUAUAUUGAACCGCAUGGUUCAAUAGUGAAAGACGGUUUUGCUGUCACUUAUAGACGGAUCCGCGCCGCAUUAGCUAGUUGGUAAGGUAACGGCUUACCAAGGCAACGAUGCGUAGCCGACCUGAGAGGGUGAUCGGCCACACUGGAGCUGAGACACGGUCCAGACUCCUACGGGAGGCAGCAGUAGGGAAUCUUCCGCAAUGGGCGAAAGCCUGACGGAACAACGCCGCGUGAGUGAUGAAGGUCUUCGGAUCGUAAAGCUCUGUUAUUAGGGAAGAACAAAUGUGUAAGUAGCUGUGCACGUCUUGACGGUACCUGAUCAGGAAGCCACGGCUAACUACGUG